CUGUGGACAUCAUUACACAGAGGCCGGUAGCUGAGGACUCAGUGCAGGUGAAGCUUCCGCCUGAAAGAUGAGCUAAAGCCAGAGGGAAAUUCCAUCCAGGACCGCACAUGUGACUCGUUCCAAGAGCUCUCAAGACAGACCUUCAACGAAGCUCACUUGGGUUUGAAGAUGAAUGCCAAUGGAGACAUACCUGUUGAUUAUCAACUUUGUGGCAAAGCAUCCUGGUUUGAUAGCAGUAAAAGUCGGUUCCUUCCGAAACUCACAGUC
rnacentral:lncRNA from 1 species